UACGUAGGGGGCAAGCGUUGUCCGGAUUUAUUGGGCGUAAAGAGCGUGUAGGCGGCCUGAAAGGUCAGCUGUGAAAACUCGAGGCUCAACCUCGAGACGUCGGUUGAAACCAUCUGGCUAGAGUCCGGAAGAGGCGAGUGGAAUUCCUGGUGUAGCGGUGGAAUGCGCAGAUAUCAGGAGGAACACCAAUAGCGAAGGCAGCUCGCUGGGACGUUACUGACACUGAGGCGCGAAAGCGUGGGGAGCGAACAGG
rnacentral:rRNA from 1 species